GACGAACGCUGGCGGCGUGCUUAACACAUGCAAGUCGAACGGAAAGGCCCUGCUUUUGUGGGGUGCUCGAGUGGCGAACGGGUGAGUAACACGUGAGUAACCUGCCCUUGACUUUGGGAUAACUUUAGGAAACUGGGGCUAAUACCGGAUAGGAGCUCCUGCUGCAUGGUGGGGGUUGGAAAGUUUCGGCGGUUGGGGAUGGACUCGCGGCUUAUCAGCUUGUUGGUGGGGUAGUGGCUUACCAAGGCUUUGACGGGUAGCCGGCCUGAGAGGGUGACCGGCCACAUUGGGACUGAGAUACGGCACAGACUCCUACGGGAGGCAGCAGUGGGGAAUAUUGCACAAUGGGCGGAAGCCUGAUGCAGCAACGCCGCGUGCGGGAUGACGGCCUUCGGGUUGUAAACCGCUUUCGCCUGUGACGAAGCGUGAGUGACGGUAAUGGGUAAAGAAGCACCGGCUAACUACGUG
rnacentral:rRNA from 1 species